GGGGCAGGCUGGUCCGGGCGGGCGAGGCGCAGGGCUCUCCCACACGUCGCGCCGCCAAUGGCAAGUUGGAGGGCGAGAUGCAAAUACCAGCCCAGCUCUCAGAAGCAAACUCAGCAGGGACAGAGCAGACAGAAGCGCUGAGGACUCACGGUGGAUCCCUCCUGUAAGUGUGUGUGGUGGAAACCAAGGCUGAAGACUCAAGGCAGCAUCUGAGGCCAAGUCUUGCUCUUGGGAAGAGCAAAGAGGUUCCUACUGCAGACCAAGUCACGGUGACCUGCAUGCAGCCCAUGGCUCGUGGGAACCCCGUGCAUUCCCACCUUUCCCAGGCACUCUGAACAGACAACAGCACCGUGAUCAGAGUGAAGCCAAGGAGGCUGGGUCUCAGCUGACCUGCCCGCAGCCUGGUGCAGCUGCAGCACGAUAGCGCCACAUGGACGCUUCACCCCGGGAGCACCAAGUGAUUCCUGCAUAGCCUGAGUGAUCUGGGGAACAGGGACGUGAGCAGCCAUCAAGCUGCUGUUCCCUCCUCAGACAGAGAAGAGACCGCGAGGAGAAGAGGAGGCGCUAGUCGCGUAUGGCGCACUUUACAUUUUAUAAGGGAAUGGUGCACCCUGCAGUUGUGCAGGGAGACUUGAAGAGGGAGCUGGAGUAGGAGGGAGCUCAGGAAGGGCUCAGACAUGGCUCCUGGGCGCAGCCAUCUGGUUCAGGGGAUGGAGGGCAUGGCGGGCUCAUGAGACCCCAUUUAGCAUCUUGCUGAGGAGCAAGCCCAGGCUGAGGGCUGUACCAGGAGAUGGAUGACCCUGCUCUCUGGGGAUUGCCCCAUCCCACAGGGAAGCAAGGGCAUGACUGAGACACUGUAAGACAGAGGCAUAGCUGAGGCCAACAGGAAGUCAGCCGCUCCUCAGUUUCCCCACCCUGUCCUCACGUCACGGGAUGAGGGUUAUUGUUGUUGUUUAAUGCAGCAAAAUACAACAUUUAAUGUCUAUAAAGGUGCAGCAUGAGUCAUUUCACGGAAUGUCUAGGCCCCUUUUGCUGGCAGCAAACAAACUUUCCAGCCCUCUUUUGAGGAAGCUA